GACGAACGCUGGCGGCGUGCUUAACACAUGCAAGUCGAGCGGUAAGGCCCUUUCGGGGGUACACGAGCGGCGAACGGGUGAGUAACACGUGGGUGACCUGCCUUUAGCUCUGGGAUAAGCCUGGGAAACUGGGUCUAAUACCGGAUAUGACCCUAUGGCGCAUGUUGUGGGGUGGAAAGCCUUGUGCGGCUAGGGAUGGGCCCGCGGCCUAUCAGCUUGUUGGUGGGGUGAUGGCCUACCAAGGCGACGACGGGUAGCCGGCCUGAGAGGGCGACCGGCCACACUGGGACUGAGACACGGCCCAGACUCCUACGGGAGGCAGCAGUGGGGAAGUCUUGCGCAAUGGGCGAAAGCCUGACGCAGCGACGCCGCGUGA
rnacentral:rRNA from 1 species